rnacentral:lncRNA from 1 species
GUAAUAUGAUUCAUUUUAGAUCAUAUACAUUGCAUCCAUCUCUUACAUUUAGAAUUCUUUGCUGUUCUUACAUAAUCUCAUCAUUUCUUUCUUACAACACAUUUACCUCAAAAUAAGCUUUACGUUCUUUCUUUACAUCACAAAUCAUCAAAUACAAAAGAUGAUAAAAGGGUGUCUACUAACAAAAUGUAAACCCAACUCUGGUGGCCUCUGACUAAGGCGCGAUACCUUUACCCCGGUCGCUCGCCGGCUCGCUCGGUCCCGGCUCUGUGGAAAUAGUGGGGUG